rnacentral:rRNA from 1 species
GUAGGUGGCAAGCGUUGUCCGGAAUUAUUGGGCGUAAAGCGCGCGCAGGCGGUCCUUUAAGUCUGAUGUGAAAGCCCACGGCUCAACCGUGGAGGGUCAUUGGAAACUGGGGGACUUGAGUACAGAAGAGGAAAGCGGAAUUCCAAGUGUAGCGGUGAAAUGCGCAGAGAUUUGGAGGAACACCAGUGGCGAAGGCGGCUUUCUGGUCUGUAACUGACGCUGAGGCGCGAAAGCGUGGGGAGCAAACAGGGAUUAGAUACCCUGGUAGUCCACGCCGUAAACGAUGAGUGCUAAGUGUUAGGGGGUUUCCCGCCCCUUAGUGCUGCAGCUAACGCAUUAAGCACUCCGCCUGGGGAGUACGGCCGCAAGGCUG